rnacentral:rRNA from 1 species
GACGAACGCUGGCGGCGUGCUUAACACAUGCAAGUCGAACGGUGAAGCUCCAGCUUGCUGGAGUGGAUCAGUGGCGAACGGGUGAGUAACACGUGAGCAACCUGCCCCUGACUCUGGAAUAAGCGCUGGAAACGGCGUCUAAUACUGGAUACGAGAAGGGUCCGCAUGGGCACUUUCUGGAAAGUUUUUCGGUUGGGGAUGGGCUCGCGGCCUAUCAGCUUGUUGGUGAGGUAAUGGCUCACCAAGGCGACGACGGGUAGCCGGCCUGAGAGGGCGACCGGCCACACUGGGACUGAGACACGGCCCAGACUCCUACGGGAGGCAGCAGUGGGGAAUAUUGCACAAUGGGCGAAAGCCUGAUGAAGCGACGCCGCGUGAGGGAUGACGGCCUUCGGGUUGUAAACCUCUUUCAGCAGGGAAGAAGCGAAAGUGACGGUACCUGCAGAAGAAGCACCGGCUAACUACGUG